AUAGAACGCUGGCGGCAGGCCUAACACAUGCAAGUCGAACGAGUGGCGGACGGGUGAGUAAUGUCUGGGAAACUGCCCGAUGGAGGGGGCUAACUACUGGAAACGGUAGCUAAUCCCGCAUACCAUCGGAUGUGCCACGAUGGGAUUAGGUAGGAGGUGGGGUAACGGCUCACCUGGGCGACGAGCCCUAGCUGGUCUGAGAGGAUGACCAGCCACACUGGAACUGGGACACGGUCCAGACUCCUACGGGAGGCAGCAGGGGGGAAUAUUGCACAAUGGGCGCAAGCCUGAUGCAGCCAUGCCGCGUGUAUGAAGAAGGCCUUCGGAUUGUAAAGUACUUUCAGCUAGGAGGCGUUACUCGCAGAAGAAGCACCGGCUAACUCCGUGCCAGCAGCCGCGGUAAUAC
rnacentral:rRNA from 1 species